CAGUAGCCGCGGGAAUACAGAGGGUGCGAGCGUUAAUCGGAAUUACUGGGCGUAAAGCGCGCGUAGGUGGUUUGUUAAGUUGGAUGUGAAAUCCCCGGGCUCAACCUGGGAACUGCAUCCAAAACUGGCAAGCUAGAGUAUGGUAGAGGGUGGUGGAAUUUCCUGUGUAGCGGUGAAAUGCGUAGAUAUAGGAAGGAACACAAGUGGCGAAGGCGACCACCUGGACUGAUACUGACACUGAGGUGCGAAAGCGUGGGGAGCAAACAGGAUUAGAUACCCCUGUAGUCCCUGUCUCUUAUAC
rnacentral:rRNA from 1 species